rnacentral:tRNA from 1 species
GGACCCUUAGCUCAGUUGGUUAGAGCAGGUCACUCAUAAUGACAAGGUCACAGGUUCAAAUCCUGUAGGGUCCA